rnacentral:lncRNA from 10 species
AGCAGAGGGACUGCCUUCCAGAGACUUUGGAUCAUCACCACGAUGGGUUGAUUUUACAAAUUUAGCCACUGUCACCGGAGGCCUGGCUGAACUUCAGAGUUUCUUCUCCAGCGUCGGUUUCUUGAUUGCCUAAAGUUCCUUCCAGUCUAAUACUCUGGGAUUCUGGGCCAGUUUCUGGUCUGUCACAGCUGAAUAAGAGUGCAAGGGCAGGAGUGGAAUGUUCAGACUGCUCCAAGAGGACCUUGGCCCAGGUGAGGCAGCAGGCCGGCACCCUGCCCACAACCACAUAGAGGGCCCAGGCUUGUCUGACGCCUCAGGCUGUGCUCUCUCCAGCUCACUGCGGUGCCUCUCCCAGAUUCGGGCACACUCUGGUGUAACCUGCUUCGCUCGUUCGCGGGAUGGGUGGUGAGCAUGGAGCCCAUUUUCCCAUGUGGCAUUUCAGCAACAGGACUUGGCUAUUUGAAACUCCCCAGACAUAGCAGGAUUUAAAAAACGGAUCCCCUCUGGCUGGGCAUUUAGGUUGCUUUCACUUCUGGGCUGCUAUAAACAGCCUGCAGUUACUGCCUCAGGACGCCUUUCUGGAAGGUGAGUUUCUUGGCCAGGGGAUAUCGCACAUGCACUUUGGAGCCUCUGAGCCUUUGCACAGGCUGGUCCCUUUGCCUGGCUGCCCCUCUCCCAUUUAUCCCUAGAUUCUUCUGCAGCACACACACUGCCUCCUCUGAAGUGUCCUGGCUGCAUGUGCUGCUCUCCUUGCCCUGGGCUGCCCUCUUCUCCCUGGUGUCAUGAGUAUCUGCUGACCUUCUGCUUCUCCCAUGACAGAGUGCCUUCCUUCUCUUCCUUCUCUGCCUUGGCCUCCAGCACGUAGUAGGCGCCUAGGAAAUGUUUUCCAGCAGAACGAGCCAUCUCCUGGCUGGUUUAGCAGUGUGGGAUUGUGUGGUGUUUCUAUUAGUCUCCAUGAACAAGUGCCACUGUGUUAUUAAAUUUUUCCAAAAGCAGAA